UAAUACGGAGGGUGCAAGCGUUAUCCGGAUUCACUGGGUUUAAAGGGUGCGUAGGCGGAUUUGUAAGUCCGUGGUGAAAUCUCUAAGCUUAACUUGGAAAUUGCCGUGGAUACUAUAAGUCUUGAAUAUUGUGGAGGUUAGCGGAAUAUGUCAUGUAGCGGUGAAAUGCAUAGAUAUGACAUAGAACACCAAUUGCGAAGGCAGCUGGCUACACAACUAUUGACGCUGAGGCACGAAAGCGUGGGGAUCAAACAGGAUUAGAUACCCUGGUAGUCCACGCCCUAAACGAUGAUUACUCGACAUUUGCGAUACACAGCAAGUGUCUGAGCGAAAGCAUUAAGUAAUCCACCUGGGAAGUACGACCGCAAGGUUGAAACUCAAAUGAAUUGACGGG
rnacentral:rRNA from 1 species